CCUGGCUCCGCGGGCAACCCUCGAACCCGCCGGGAGAAAUAAACCUUUAACAGCGCCUUUUUAAACCCUCCCGGACAGAUAAACCCUCUGACACAGCCUUUUAGUGCUAGCGAGUCAGGUAUUUGCAGCUGCCUCUGCUUGAGCAAGCUCCAUGUCUCUGCACGGCUCCCUUCUGCCUCCUGUGAGCGGUGAUAAUAUCACUUCCCUGCCUCCCAAGACUGCUUGAUCUACACCACAUUCCUGAAACCUCAUCUGCAGGCUGGAUAGUCCCCGUUCGUCCCUAAGCUGUUUGGGACUCUCCGUGCUGCUCAGACUCUCUGGCUCUCA